rnacentral:rRNA from 1 species
GAUGAACGCUGGCGGCGUGCCUAAUACAUGCAAGUCGAGCGAACGGACGAGAAGCUUGCUUCUCUGAUGUUAGCGGCGGACGGGUGAGUAACACGUGGAUAACCUACCUAUAAGACUGGGAUAACUUCGGGAAACCGGAGCUAAUACCGGAUAAUAUUUUGAACCGCAUGGUUCAAAAGUGAAAGACGGUCUUGCUGUCACUUAUAGAUGGAUCCGCGCUGCAUUAGCUAGUUGGUAAGGUAACGGCUUACCAAGGCAACGAUGCAUAGCCGACCUGAGAGGAUGAUCGGCCACACUGGAACUGAGACACGGUCCAGACUCCUACGGGAGGCAGCAGUAGGGAAUCUUCCGCAAUGGGCGAAAGCCUGACGGAGCAACGCCGCGUGAGUGAUGAAGGUCUUCGGAUCGUAAAACUCUGUUAUUAGGGAAGAAAAUAUGUGUAAGUAACUGUGCCCAUCUUGACGGUACCUAAUCAGAAAGCAACGGCUAACUACGUG